AGGAUGAGAGAGGACUGUUGUGAGGAGUCCAGGACAGCAAAGUGAGCAGAACGUGUGGCCAGAAGGAUUGCAGCGUUGUUGAAGCCGAGGUGCAGAAGGAUGGAACUGGAAAAAUAGGAAACAAAUAUUAGAGAACCUGAUGCUGGACUGGAGAUGCUGAUAGGUACUGAAGUAGAAUUGGCCAUGGCAACAGCCACGUGGGACUCAAGAGAAGUUCAGCCCUGACUCCAAAGACCAGCCUUCCUCUUCUCAGAUGAGAUGCUGAUUUCAGUUGCCUUCAUCAGGUCACAGGGAGGAAGCCGAAGGCAAACUGGCACUCCAGGCAUGUGUUCUUCAAUGGUUGAAAAUGUGGGGAGAAAAUGAAACCCUGUGCACUGUCAGUGGAAAAUGGUACAACCUCUCUUGUAAACUCUAUGUAGGGUCCUCAAAAAAUUAAAAAUGGAAUCUCA